GUUUUGUACUGUGCACAAAUAAUUUCUAAGAAAAAAACGAAAUAGGUGUCUGUCAUUGUAUGCACACUUUAAGUGUCUUAUUGCUGUGGGUGCGUUCCGCAGACGGCAAGCGGGCGUUCCUGGAUGUUGUGUUCAUGGAGUCCGACGUGUGGCUGUACUGGAAGAGCUGCCCCAGGCAACAGCAGCAUCAUUCUGUCCCUGGAGUGUCUCUGCUCCUCAAGGCCGCCGUCUGCAGCCUCCCUAUUGGUCAGGAGCUGGGCUGGGGCCAGUGAUGCAUGGCUGGGUGUGAAGGGCUGUGUGGGGCUCUGGGGACGAGCCAGGGCUCGGGAACGCUGCCGCCAUCUCCUUGCCCAAGAGCUCCAUCUCCACAGUUUGUUAAAUUCUGUGUUUACGAUACCAUAAAUAUUAAUCAAAAUUAUAUCUUAUUUUUUUUCUUUAUUUUGAUUUUGGCCCUUUUGUUAUUUUAUUAGUUUGUUCUUCCCGUAUUUUUCUUUUUUCUUUCAUUCGUUUCUUCCUGUCCAAUUUUUUGUGUUCCUCUCUACCUGAGAGGCGUUCCUGUGUCUGCUUGCAUGUGUCUGCGUGUAUGUGUCUGUGCGCAUGUGUUUGUGCGUGCAUGUGUUUGUGAAUGUGUCUUUUGUGUCCCCUGCUGUUUUCUCCCCUCCUCUCAAAAUCUAAAAAGGUGACAAAGAAUCUCAGGCCGGAUAAUGGAACGUUUCUUUACAGCAAACAUAUAAUGGUUUCCUGAAAUGAUAGAUGAUUGUGGCCAAAAACAGGCAAAGCUAAGAGAAUCUAUUCAUUAGAAAUGAUCCGUGGGGGAGAGAGAGCAUGACUCUGGCUUUCAGCACAGCCAUGUGUCUUCGCUGGAAUUUGUUUGUGCUCAGGAAAUAAAAAGGAGACCAUAAGUAGAUAAACGUGUUGACAUCUUCAGCUUUCUGUGUCAUUCUUAAACAACAAUUUAGAUUUUAAGUUCAAUUUCUUCCAAGACCAAAUGCCUCCUUCAUUAAUUGAAAUAAAUGUUAUUUUUGCUUUUAGGCAUUACUAUUUGCCACUCAUUUGGUUUUUCAUUCUGUUUUGCUUGCUUACACGUUUAUCUUUUAUAUGGUUAAAAAUGUAAUCUUUAUGAUGUAUAUUGAGAUAGAAGCUUUUGAAUUGACAGUCACACUAAUGCAACCUCUAUUUACUACUUCACUAUAUUUAAUUCCUUUAAUUAUGAUUCAUUAGUAUUGAACAAAGUAUUUGCCUCAGUUUACCAGCAUAAUUAAAACAAA
rnacentral:lncRNA from 1 species